rnacentral:rRNA from 1 species
GAAACGACUGCUAAGACUGGAUAGGAGAUAAGAAGGCAUCUUCUUAUUUUUAAAAGACCUAGCAAUAGGUAUGCUUAGGGAAGAGCUUGCGUCACAUUAGUUAGUUGGUGGGGUAAUGGCCUACCAAGACGAUGAUGUGUAGCCGGGCUGAGAGGUCGAACGGCCACAUUGGGACUGAGACACGGCCCAAACUCCUACGGGAGGCAGCAGUAAGGAAUUUUCGGCAAUGGAGGAAACUCUGACCGAGCAAUGCCGCGUGAACGAUGAAGUAUUUUGGUACGUAAAGUUCUUUUAUUAGGGAAGAAAAGAUGGUGGAAAAACCAUUAUGACGGUACCUAAUGAAUAAGCCCCGGCUAACUAUGUGCCAGCAGCCGCGGUAAUACAUAGGGGGCAAGCGUUAUCCGGAAUUAUUGGGCGUAAAGGGUGCGUAGGCGGUUAAAUAAGUUUAUGGUCUAAGUGCAACGCUCAACGUUGUGAUGCUAUAAAAACUGUUUAGCUAGAGUUGGAUAGAGGCAAGUGGAAUUCCGUGUGUAGUGGUAAAAUGCGUAAAUAUACGGAGGAACACCAGAAGCGAAGGCGGCUUGCUGGGUCUUAACUGACGCUGAGGCACGAAAGCGUGGGGAGCAAACAGGAUUAGAUACCCUGGUAGUCCACGCCCUAAACGAUGAGUACUAAACGUUGGAUAAAACCAGUGUUGAAGUUAACACAUUAAGUACUCCGCCUGAGUAGUACGUACGCAAGUAUGAAACUUAAAGGAAUUGACGGGACUCCGCACAAGCGGUGGAUCAUGUUGUUUAAUUCGAAGGUACCCGAAAAACCUCACCAGGUCUUGACAUGCUUUUGCAAAGCUGUAGAAAUACAGUGGAGGUUAUCAGAAGCACAGGUGGUGCAUGGUUGUCGUCAGCUCGUGUCGUGAGAUGUUGGGUUAAGUCCCGCAACGAGCGCAACCCUUGUUGUUAAUUGCCAUCAUUAAGUUGGGGACUUUAGCAAGACUGCCAAUGAUAAAUUGGAGGAAGGUGGGGACGACGUCAAAUCAUCAUGCCCCUUAUGACCUGGGCUACAAACGUGAUACAAUGGCUGUUACAAAGGGUAGCUAAAGCGUAAGCUUCUGGCGAAUCUCAAAAAAGCAGUCUCAGUUCGGAUUGAAGUCUGCAACUCGACUUCAUGAAGUUGGAAUCGCUAGUAAUCGCGAAUCAGCAUGUCGCGGUGAAUACGUUCUCGGGGUUUGUACACACCGCCCGUCA